rnacentral:rRNA from 1 species
AAUGAACGUUGGCGGCGUGGAUUAGGCAUGCAAGUCGUGCGGCAGCAGGCCCCGCAAGGGGUGCUGGCGAGCGGCGAAAGGGUCAGUAACACGUGGAUAACCUACCCCCGGGCCCGGAAUAGCGGCGGGAAACUGCCGGUAAUGCCGGAUAAUGUCCCUGGACCAAAGGUGUGAUUCCGUCCGAGGAUGGGUCCGCGUCCUAUUAGCUAGUUGGUGAGGUAACGGCCCACCAAGGCAAAGAUGGGAAGGGGGGGUGAGAGCAUGACCCCCGAGACUGGGACUGAGACACUGCCCAGACACCGACGGGUGGCUGCAGUGGAGAAUCUUCGGCAAUGGGCGCAAGCCUGACCGAGCGACGCCGCGUGCGGGAUGAAGGCCUUCGGGUUGUAAACCGCUGUCAGAGGGGCGGAAAUAUGUUGGAGUUCUCUCCAGCAUUUGACUUAACCUCAGAGAAAGCAUGGGCUAAGUUCGUGCCAGCCGCCGCCGUAAAAC